CACACACACACACACGCACACAAAGGUUUUUUUAAAUACAGUUUUUACUGUAUUAUUGAUUUUUAUCACCUGGGAAACAUGGAAACCAAAUGUAUUCAAACAAAGGACACAAAAGUGUAAGUUUAGUGUGUAGUGUGUAGUAUGUAGUGUAGUGUGUAGUGUGUAGUGCAGUGUGUAGUAUGUAGUGUAGUGUGUAGUGUGUAGUGCAGUGUGUAGUGUGUAGUAUGUAGUGUAGAGUGUAGUGUGUAGUGUGUAGUGUAGUGUGUAGUGUGUAGAGUGUAGUGUGUAGUGUGUAGUGCAGUGUGUAGAGUGUAGUAUGUAGUGUAGAGUGUAGAGUGUAGUGUGUAGUGUGUAGUGUAGUGUGUAGUAUGUAGUGUAGUGUGUAGUGUGUAGUGCAGUGUGUAGUGUGUAGUAUGUAGUGCAGUGUGUAGUGUGUAAUAUGUAGUUAUGUAGUGCAGUGUGUAGUAUGUAGUGUAGUGUGUAGUGUGUAGUAUGUAGUGUGUAGAGUGUAGUGUGUAGUGUGUAGUGUGUAGUGUGUAGUGUGUA
ensembl:lncRNA